rnacentral:misc_RNA from 1 species
GCAGCGGUGCUGGAUGCGGGAGAGAUCGAGAUGCUCUGCUCCGGCCGAAUCAUCACCUGCUCCUUCCCCUCGCACCCGAGGCUCCCUCCACGGCCGCAUCGUUCCAUCCUCCGAUGGCGGUCCAUGGCCGCCGGCGAAGCCGCUGAUCCGUCCUCGUCUUUCAUGAAACCCUCCUUUGACGCCGCCAGCGAUCCGGUUGACAAAAACUCCGCCGGCUUUUGUAUUAUUGAAGGACCCG